rnacentral:lncRNA from 1 species
UGUGUUUCCUGGGCACUACCCCCAGCUCGCUGAAUCCAGGAGCAGCCCCGGGAUCAUUGUGACCUCACAGUUCAGACAGCAUCGGUCCCCUGUGGGGGCCACCUUUCCAGCCCCUCCUCCCAGCAGAGGAUCCCAGUGCCCUCCUGGCCUGAAGGCCCUGCAGGCCUGGCCUUCCCAACUUCCUCUCUGCCCUUGUCCCCCGUCGUCCCUCUAGUUGGCCUGGCCCUCCCAACUUCCUCUCUGCCCUUGUCCCCCGUCGUCCCCCUAGUUGGCCUGGCCCUCCCAACCUCCUCUCUGCCCUUGUCCCCCGUCGUCCCCCUAGCUGGAGGGUGCCCCAGCCUGGCUGACCUCAGUUCUUGUCCCCAGCACACACAACUCUUCCCAGCCUCAAGGCCUUCACCUGGCUGUGCCGCUGCCUGCAAUGUUCCUCCCCAGUCUUGUCAGGGCUGGCUCCUGGGGAGAAGAUCUCUGCUCAGAUGUCACUUCCCCGGAAGGGCCUUCCACGGCCACCCACGUCGUGUCUCCCCACGCCUGCCCCCACACUCGCUAGCCCGCCGUCCCCUCUUCCUGCUUCCGUCCUCCACAGCAGUCAUCACCAUCUGAUAUUCCUGUGUAUGCAUCGGUUUGCCUUUCUGGCUCCUGGUUUUGCUCUGCCUCCCCGCUGGAAGAAGGCAGAGGUUGCAGUGAGCCAAGAUCAUGCCAAUGCGCUCCAGCCUGGGCGACAGAGUGAAACUCCAAGUGAAUAAAUGAAUUGUGAGUGCAUGGUGAGUGGGUAAGUAAGUGGGGAAUGGGGUGAGCCAAUGGGCGAGUGAGCAGGUGGAUGAGUGGACAAACACUUGAGCGAAUGAAUGAGUAUGUAGCUGAAUGAACCCCUCACUCUACCAGAAAAGCCAGGGGAAGGGGCCUGAGCAUCUCCUUCAGGGGUACCUGCCAAGGCGGAGUCCUGGAACCCCUGCCCAGAACUGCUCGUGGAGGGCAUCUGCGUUAGUCCCCUGCUCCCCAGCGCUGCCAGCCCCUGCCUCAGAUCUCUUACCCAACCGCAUCGCUUCCACUUGGCAAGGUAGAUGGCCCAUGUACUGGGAGUACUACAUGGUAGGAUCCCUGGGAGGGUGCCCCUGGGUGUCCUCCUGGAUCUCUUUCUGGUGUGAAAUAGGGCGCUCUCUUGGCUUCUUCAGUUGAACACCUGUGUGACCAGCUCUGUCAUCAGAUAUGUUUUGUAAUUAAAGGCUACUCUGUCCUAA